rnacentral:rRNA from 1 species
GACGAACGCUGGCGGCGUGCUUAACACAUGCAAGUCGAGCGGUAAGGCCCUUUCGGGGGUACACGAGCGGCGAACGGGUGAGUAACACGUGGGUAAUCUGCCCUCAGCUCUGGGAUAAGCCCGGGAAACUGGGUCUAAUACCGGAUAUGACUUCGCGAUGCAUGUCGUGGAGUGGAAAGCCUUGUGCGGCUGAGGAUGGGCCCGCGGCCUAUCAGCUUGUUGGUGGGGUGAUGGCCUACCAAGGCGA